GGUUCUAUAGUGUAGCGGUUAGCACUUCGGAUUCUGAUUCCGGCAACCCCGGUUCGAGUCCGGGUAGGACCU
rnacentral:tRNA from 1 species